AAUAGAUACCCGAGGUAGUCCACGCCGUAAACGAUGAGUGCUAAGUGUUAGGGGGUUUCCGCCCCGUUAGUGCUGCAGCUAACGCAUUAAGCACUCCGCCUGGGGAGUACGGCCGCAAGGCUGAAACUCAAAGGAAUUGACGGGGGCCCGCACAAGCGGUGGAGCAUGUGGUUUAAUUCGAAGCAACGCGAAGAACCUUACCAGGUCUUGACAUCUCCUGACCGCCCUGGAGACAGGGUCUUCCCUUCGGGGACAGGAUGACAGGUGGUGCAUGGUUGUCGUCAGCUCGUGUCGUGAGAUGUUGGGUUAAGUCCCGCAACGAGCGCAACCCUUGUCCUUAGUUGCCAGCAUUCAGUUGGGCACUCUAAGGAGACUGCCGGCUAAAAGUCGGAGGAAGGUAGGGAUGACGUCAAAUCAUCAUGCCCCUUAUGACCUGGGCUACACACGUGCUACAAUGGGCGGUACAGAGGGUCGCGAACCCGCAAGGGGGAGCCAAUCCCAAAAAACCGCUCUCAGUUCGGAUUGCAGG
rnacentral:rRNA from 1 species